rnacentral:misc_RNA from 1 species
GACCACCGGAAAAGUAGGGAUACAGUCAAUCUCUUGGAUUUCCACACAAGGGGCCACAAGUACAUUUGGUAUGCCCUGCCCGGAUAUGCCAUUGGACUGGUGACCGCUCUAGCAGCUGGCGUUUUGACUCACUCACCUCAACCUGCUCUAUUGUAUCUGGUGCCUUCUACAUUAGGACCUGUUAUUGCAAUAUCUUGGAUAAGGAAGGAUUUUUUGGAGUUAUGGGAAGGUCCCUCGCCGAACCCCAAUGAUAAAGUAGUAGAAGUAGUUUGAAU